AAAUUUUACACGGUAUCUUUUCUUCCAGGUGAAGAGGAGAUAGGGAAGAAGAAAUUGAAGUAUGAUGGGAUUAGGAAGGAAGAAAGGGAAAAGAAAAAGGCACAAAAAGAAAAAAAGGGUGGGAGGGUGUGGCGGACAGGAAAUGAACAGGGAAGAAAAUGAGACUGAGGUUUCAACCAAGGCGGUAGGGGGAGGAGGCCAGCCCUGCUAGCUCGUACCUGAUCUUUGUGGGAAUUGCGAACAGGUGGCGCUUCCGCGGGGCCGGUGCAGACCUGGCCAGGGCGCAGCGUGAGUACCUGAGCUCAGGCUGCCUUCCAGUACCCCCUGCACCCCUGCCCAGGCACCUCUGUGCCAACUGAACCUACUCAAAGGCACUAGAAGGUGAGAAAGGACAUAAAGUGAGGUCAAUAUUCUGAAGGAGAACUACAUGUUGGAAGAAACAAACGUGGAAGAAAAUGAAGUGUAAGCAUUUGGAGGCCAAAACAUGCUUCAGCUGUGCUUUAAAGAAAGAAAAUGGGCUUUGUGGAACCCUGGAUCUGAUUUCAUCCAAAGUAACUCCUGAAUACCGACCUACACAGAGUCACCAUCAACUUCCAUGGACCUACAGAGAAAACAUGGAUUUAAUUCACGUUUUGCUGAGCUAUUCAACUUUGCAAAACUGAUUUAGAAAAUGUGCUCUGAGAAUUUUAAGAAAUUUCUCAUGUCUGUGUCACAAGCCAGGACGGGGUGAGGGUGUGUGGGGAAACUGCACCCUGGCUGCAUUCAACUGGACCCGGAAAGUCUCAUGGGAGAUCGACGCUGUGCCGGGCAGUGUCCAGGAGCUGAGAAAUAAACAACAGAGGACUGAUGUGGCCCUGUAGGAACGCACACUCUUGUUUGGGGGCAGGGAGCAUGAUACACUAGACUGUGAUUAAAAAGAAUAAUUCAGGGC